GAGCCUGGCAGGCAGCGAGCGCAUGCGCGUCCCGCUCCCGCGCGGUCCGCGGAGCCCCGGGGGCUGGAGCCUGGAGCCACGUAGUGUUUCAUUUUGAGGCAAAGAGUUAGCCUGGGAACUAGAAGGAAUGACAUUCCAGAAGCCAGAGGAAAAUUUGUAAGGCAACAUCAGGACAAGGACUAUAUGCCAUAAGCAUUAAACAAGUGUGGUGACAAAAAGGAGCUGUCAGGAUUCAUCCCCUAAAGUGGAUGAAGGGUUGCCCAUUGGAAGAGGGAAUGUUUACGGUGAGACGGCGCAUCAUCAUCAUGACAUGAAACAGAGCAGUGGAUCCCAACUACCAUAGUGCAUAUAAGACCGAGUAUGUGACAUUCUACCAGUCAUUGAAGAUCAACUGUUAGUACCUGAACACUUUGGUUCUGACUGUGAUUAAAAACAAAACUCACCAUGAUGAAGACAUUGAGAAAACAUUAAGGUGGGGCACGUGGGUGGCUCAGUCGGUUGAGCAUCUGCCUUCAGCUCAAGUCAUGAUCUCAGGGUCCUGGGAUCCAGCCCCACAUCCAGCUCCCUGCUCAGCAAAGUCUGCUUCUCCCUCUGCCU